AUUGUUGAGGUUCCCUCUGCAGUGGGGAGGACGCCAUUCUAUCAGUCUCUGCCCGCCACAGGAAGGACGGGUUCUGAUCCUCUCCUCUGGUGCUGCACAUAGACCUGCUGGACUGCAGCAGCUCAGUGACCCAGUUUGCAUUAACAGAGUCUAUCGCCCCCUGCAGGCGUUGUGUCCUCUGCGCUCCGGUUGUUCCUGAAGCUGGAAGCCGCACAGCAUUCUGGGAAGCCAGGAGUGGACGCCAGGAGCAGAAAAGAAGUGGAGACGGUGCUCUGUGGACCGCAGUUGCUUUCUCUCUAUUCAGCAGCUCUGAUGAAGACAAGAAGGACGAAGCUGAGAGGAAGAAGGACGAAAUGAUUUUGUUGCUAAAGAAAGCAAAGCUCAGUUUGCAUCGUGGGAAUCUUCAGGCAGCCUCCUCCUACCUCCAUCAGGCUGUAGCUCUGGCUCAUCAGACCCACAACAACCAGGCCAUCAUUUACACCUACAGCCAGGUAAUCUACCAGGCCCUUCGGCCUGAAUGCCACUGUUAGGGACCCUGCA